UGGACAACGAGGGGGCUGGUUUUUCAGGCUUUUCCACUGGGGGAUGCUCCAAGAGUCUCUUCUUGUCAUUGGUGGUUCUCUACGCGUCCCUGAUGGAGAGAGAGGGACCGGCCCUUGGGUGGGGAACGGGAGGAGCCCUUCUCAUGUCCUGCGGGUUGCUGGGCUGCUGUCAUUGCAUUCCCAGCCCUGUCUCUACAUUCCAGAGCCAAUGACGUCUUCUGGGUGAGCGUUUGUCUCCUGAGCUGGGCCAGAUCCACCUUCCCGGGCAGUCACUGCUCAGUUGGUGCAGGGGAAUGCAAGGGGCCUUCGGUUCUCAGGGUUAGGGGUGAGCUGCCCCCUCCAACCUUCUCCUUCCCAGCCAUUCUCACCUCUGGGGUCUUCAACACACCCCCCCUCCCUCGGGCCCCAAACAGCCCUGUCUCCCCUAAAGCCCCUUUGUCCUGAUACCUGCCACCUGUCCACCUUCCCCCUGGGGAUUUCCUUCUCCAAUGGUCCAGCCCUCAGCAUCCCCCCUCCCCUGGCGCUUUCGGGGUGCCCCAAGCUUCCCCAGCCUCACAUCCCGGGAGGGUCCUGCCUGACUCCAGGGUAAAAGCACAUUGCAGGCUGACUCAGGCUUCCAGGGAGCUUCUGAGCUUCUCAAAGUUAAAGGGGAGGCAGGCUGGGGGGAAAGAUGCAGGAGUGAAAUGCAGGGACUCUCUUCCCUGGGGAUCCCCUACACACACACACACACACACACACACAGUACCCCACUUUGCCCAGGAGAGGCACAGCCGGGAGCAAUCUCAAGGCCCAGGAUUUCUGCCCAUAAUAUUAUGUCCCUUGCAGCCGGGGCCCACGAGGAGACAGAAAGCACUGGGAAAAUAUUGUUAGGUGGAGCCAAAAGCAGAUAGCACCUUUGCACAGAUCACGGUCAAGUGUGCACUUAAACACGUUAAAGAUGUGUUGCUUUUUCCUGUACACCUCACCUCUAACGUGACCAUGACCAGAGGCAGUGUCUGAGAGAUUGCUCGACCCUCUUCAGCGCCCACUUCCUUCCUAGAUCUCAGUCCGGCGGUUGGAAGGAGCUCAGGGCAAGCUGAAUCACUUCCACCUGCCUCAGCUGGCCCUGUCUGGAAGAUGCAACCUGACUCUGGCAGGACAGCUGGACAUGCCUUUGACAUUGACUGUGAGGGGCCCACUUGUCCCAUCCAGUGUGGACCCAGGGCCCACCUGGGCUUGCUUUUCCCCUCCUCGCUUUUCCCAAGAGGCUGGUUCUGGCACCAACUGUCACCAAAUGGUAAACAGCUCAGCACAACCCUCCCCCCCACCAAGAAGCUUAAGAUAAGAGACACCCCUACAGGGAAGGAAGAAAAAAACCUAACAGGAAGCCAAGUGGGUAAACCGUUACUGCAUCAAUGUGAGUGUUGUGUCUCUGUCCCAGGCGAGAGACACUGUGC